ACGUAAAGGCAUCCAGGGGAAGACGUAAGAAGUGUCCGUAUAGUCAUAGCAACGACAGUGCCCUUUUAAAUGACUUCAGAAGAGUGGCCAACAUUUCUCAAAUCUGACUCCAUGUCAGGGAAAUUGCUGUAGAAUGGGCUCUGUUCCACUUAGAGACAAAAUUUCAACUCCUAUAGAAACUAUAGACUGUUUUCUAUCCAAUAAUAAUAAUAAUAUGCAUAUUGUACGAUCAAGGAUUUUGUGGGAAGCCGUUUCAAAAAUUACCCAAUUAGCAUAAAUAGUCUAAACAGCGCCCCCAUCCCCAACAGGUUUUAACAGUAGUUAUAUAUAUGGUUUUGCAGAUAUUUUAAAAGUGGAUGACAUCCAAUUUUCAGGUAAUUCAUAUUAUUACUAAAUGUUGUUUUUAUGUCAAUUGUAUGUAUUUUUUUAAGUAAACAUGUAUAUAUUUUGUAUAAAUGUAUUUCUAUAUUAAUUAAACGUCUAUAGGAUACCCUACAUUUACCCAGCUGUUACCUGCAAUAAUUGAUUUGGGUCAUCAACCAUCAGAAGUUAUAGUUAUAGAAGACGAUGAUUUUGAGGAACAACCGACCAACAGUGUAUCUUUACUCGGUCCUACGCCCUGAAGAUGAUUUAGCUGACAGACCCCAGACAAGAAUACCAGAGGCAUUAUGGGCUCUACCAUUGAAUGACUUUGAGGGUAAUGAAAACGACAAUAUUCUACUGUUCUGUACGGCCGGCUUUGCCAAACUCAAAACAGCCCAAGAAUCAAAGAUUUAGCACACAUAUACACACCUCCAAGAAGCUCCAGCCCUUCAGUAUAUAAUCCUGCGCCUACACCAUAUCCUAGUCCUGCACGGUUCCACAGAACAGCAGUUCAAAUACACAGAACUGCAUCACCUCUGCCCGGGAAGGCCGACUGGUCUGAAUCGAUUGGAUUCAAGAGCAUGCUCUCUAUGGAUAUGACUCCAACGAUACCUAUACGAAUCUUGCAGAGUCUAUACAUCAAGAGGACAUCAAACGCAUCAUCAAGAAUUCUUCAGAAAAACAGGCAUCAAACAACCAAAGGCCUAUACAAACAUAGAAGACCCAAUACACCAAGAGGAAGAGGAGGAAGAGGAUGCUGAUGACAUACAGAGUAAAACAUCUAAACCGGUUGAUACAUUCAAUUCUGUUAAUGUCAAGGAUGAUUGAUGUUGCUGAUGAAGGGUUGAGCUAUGAUGAGGAUGGCGUGUUGAUGUAUGAUGCGGCUAAACAGCUUGAUACAAUCAAUUCUGAGGUGGCGCCAAUACUCAUUGAAGAUAGCAUCAAUGAGGACACUGAUCCUGAAAUAGAACUUCAAGAUAGGUUUCUCACAGCCUUUUACAGGGCUCUAAAAGCCAGAGAGGUCCAGCUACACACACGUAUGGUUGCUUUACUAAGACGUCAGUACAGCCAAGAUCUAUCCUUCUGGCAUAAAACCAUGCCACGCUUGUUAAGCAUCGAUCUGAUUAAAAACCGCCCAAACAAACUAUAAAAGCCAUAUGUAACAUGGAUACUUCUAGAAUACCACCAGAACUGAUCUCCGUAAUUAACCAAAUUAACGAGAGAGGUCCAACCCCCCCACAUCAGCCCUCAUCUCCUAUAAUCAUUACACAUGAACACCCAUUAUCACAGGUGAACUUAUAUCCUUAAUUAACCAAGUGGAUGAGAGCACACCGUCUUCAGCCCCCAACACACACACACCUCCGAUAACUCCUAUACAUGAUGAUGAUGAGCAACCACAGGAUGAUUUUGAGGAAUUUGAAAAUGGUGUAAUAAAUCAGAGGGGGGACGGUAUUGAUAGAAGUGUCCGUGUUGUGUACCUCAAUAAAUGUAACAAUACAGCGAUUCGUCAGUUUUUUAAAUUCACAUGUAUCAAUCAGAGCCAUGAUUAUGCAGUUUUUCAUGUGAUGAUUUUGGAUACUCUAGGAGAACUUUUAGAUAUGGCUACAGAUUUUGCCGAACCUCGUGAUGUCUAACAGCUUGAAAUAUGUGGCGAUAGUAUGCAAAACACAGUAUCUCUUGUUUUACCCAACGGCGAAGCAGAUCUUGAACAAUUUAUAGCCCUGCUGUCUUGUUCAAUCUAAUUUAUCCAUCAUAGCUGAUAGGACCUUAGAACUUGUUGUACAAAUAGUCUGCCAACCCCCUAGGCGGAGGGGGUCAAAGAAGGAAAAUUGAUAGUCUCAUGCAAUCCGAAAUCAUUUUUAAAAAGCAGGCCGAUCUCAUAAACGUUAACAAUCCUGGUAAUCAGUUAUGCUUUGCAAUAGGCCUAUCACAUUUACUCAACCUUGCAUGUACUGAUCUAGAAGCUUUACAAAAGGCUAGUGAGCUCCAAAAGGCUGUAGGUCUAGGUAUACAGGAGGAUGUGGCUUUCUCUGACAUAGUAAAAUUAGAACAUUUGCUGAACAUCGAGAUUGUGGUUUUGUACCAUAUUAGAGCUAAUUCAGCUCUCAUGAAAUUCCAGAACAACCCUCAAUCUCAUCCUCAUAUUCUGUACUUUUAUGUGAAAAACAACUAUUUUUAUGGUAUUACCAACAUCAGAGCUUUCUUAGGAGCACAAUAUGUGUCCAUCAUGUCAUUCAGGCUACAGCCAACAGGGGGGCACUCUUGUCGUUAUAACUGUUCAGUGUGUCAAGAUGAAAAAUGUCCGAUGCAGCCCUUACACCCAACACCCUGUGAGGAUUGUCAUCAUACAUGUCGUUCUGCCUACUGUUACGAAAAACACAACAUUGAAACAUGGCAAGGCAUGUAAAUCUGUAAACAGUUGUGACAUUAACAAGAAAUGUCCAAAAUGCCAUUGCAAUUACAUCCUUUAAAUAGACAGCCCUAAACUCAUGUAUGUGGUAUCAUACGCUGCCCAAUCUGUAAAGGGCUUCGAAAAGCAGAGACACUGAAGUGAUUCAAGAAGUGGAACAUGAGUUCUAUUUUCAGCCUUCGGCUGAAGAUGAACAUUAAGAGAAAUAUGUUUUAUAACUUUGAGAGUAAUCAGGAAUCAGGGAUUAAUUUGCCUAUUUUUGUAUCUACCAUGACUUUCAAGGGUGAAAAGUGGUCGGGGCAGAGGGACCCAAUUGUGCACUACUCUUUCACUACUCUUUCUAUGAUUCCUAUCUUCUUUUGAACCCCCUGAUACAACAAGGCGUUGCACCCAGGGUCAUAGUCCAAGGUAGUAAAAUAUGGUGUUUUGUAGACCCCGCCUUCAACCAGAGAUACAUUGACAGUUUAAGUUUCUUACUCCAUGACCCCUGGAGUAGUACAACUAUUGCAUCGGCAUGCAUGAAAACCUAUUGCACACACUUUUUACCUCCAGUAUCUGUAGCUAUUCCAUCGCCUGACAACUACCGCCGACAAUUCAAGUCAUACUCGAGCGGCUCCAAUUCAAUGGUUGGAGUACUUAUCCCAGGCUAAAAACAUUUUUAUUCAACAUAAAAAAAAGGGUCAAAAAGAUUGGACCCUACCAUGUAGAUGGUUACACACAUUUUGACGCUGUUGAGACAGUGUAUGAGUACAACGGUUGUUUCUUCCACGGUUGUAAAUCUUGCUUUGUGCCCCAGGCCAUGUGUGUCUUAACCCAAAAUAAUUUUGGGGAUAUGUACCAGGAGUUCCAAGACAAAUUGGAAUCUUUACAGGCUGCUGAUGGGGUGAGCGUUAUGGUUAUCUGGGAACCUGAGUGGACAGAACUCAAAAAGUCUGAUCCUCAUGUUUGAGCUUUCCUUUCCACCUUUGACAUACCCGAACCCCUGGAACCCCACCAGGCCUUGUAUGGAGGUCAUACCAAUGCUUUGACAUUACGGUAUAUAGCGCAACCUGAUGAGAAAAUUGGAUAUGUAGAUUUUACAUCCCUUUAUCCUCAUGUAGUGAGUUCCUCUUGUUAUCCCAUGGGUCAUCCUGAAAUUAUUCACCAUGACUUUGACUUCCCACAAAACUAUUUUGGUCUGAUAAAAGCAACUGUUUACCCUCCCCAGGGCUUGUUUCUGCCACUGUUGCCUUACAAGGGACCUCAAGGAAAACGUUUCUUUCCCCUUUGUCGCACCUGCAGUGAAAACAACAACCAGGAAAAACCUUGUGAUCAUUCAGACCCAUACACCCAUAAACUGGUCCGAGCCCUGACCGGUGUAUGCGCCACUGUUGAAUUCUCUAAGGCUAUAGAGAAGGGGUACCGUGUGGCCAAAAUCUUUGAAGUGUGGAACUUUUCCAGGAAAUCAGACACUCUUUUUAAAGAGUACAUCAAGACCUUCUUGAGAUGCAAGCAAAUGGCUUCAGGGUAUCCUGCCCCAGUCACAGAUCAAGAGAGCAAAGACAGUUCAUUUCAGGACCAUCAUGAAAAAGAAGGCAUACGUCUUGACCCUGACAGAAUAGAGGUCAACAAAACCAAAAGAAAUCUGUUGAAAAUGUAUUUAAAUUCGCUUUGGGGAAAUUAUCCCAGAGAAGUAAUAUGUUAACAAUGUCGAUUAUUAAAGAUCCCGAAGAAUUUAUGGAAUUCGUUUUUUCAGACCAAUAUGAAAUUUCACAUUUUUCAUUCUUGAGUCAAAACAUUGCUCUGGUGCAAUGGAGACGUAACAAGAAGUGGGUUCUACCCCCGGGUAAUGUAAACGUGUUUCUUGCAGCAUUUACCAAGGCCUAUGGUCGACUUGAACUAUACACCCUCGUGGAGCAGCUGCAGAGGAGGGUUCUUUACCAUGACACAGACACUGUGGUCUAUGUAAGAAAACCUGGUGAUUGGAACCCCCCUCUUAGCAACUAUCUGGGUGGUUUAACGAGUGAACUCGAAGAUGGUGACCAUAUCAUAGAGUGGUUAUCCUGUGGCCCCCAAAUCUAUGCUUUUAGUACUAAAGACAAUCAUGUGGUGUUGAAAGCCAAAGGUGGGACUCAAAAUUGUGAAAAUGCCUCCCGUGUAAACUUGGAAUCAAUCAGACACUUAGUCGAGGGGUUCAUAAAUGACCAGAAUAGUGAAUUAGAAAUGUUUAACUCCUACAAAAAGAUUGUUAGGGAUAAAAAGGGGUUCCAUCUAUGUAAUGCCCCACUUACUAAAAUAUUCCUGGUAGUCUAUGACAAGAGAUUGCUUGUACCUGACGGGACCACCUUGCACUUUGGUUACUGACUUAUGUUACAAGUCCUGUGUGUCUUAACCCUUAAGAUAUAAUGGCUGCUGUAGAAGGUUUUGAUCCCAGGUUGCAACUACCAUUUCCGGCCUUAAUCGCAGGCCCAUCCAAUAGCGGUAAAACUUGUUUUGUAAAAAGUAUUUUAGAGAAUUCUGAACAUGUAUUAUCUCAGAAACCUGACAAUAUUGUGUGGUGUUAUUCAUGUUAUCAACCUUUGUUUGAUGAGUUGUUGAAGAAAAUAAAAAUCAAGUUUGUUGAAGGAA